rnacentral:rRNA from 1 species
UACAGAGGGGGCAAGCGUUGUUCGGAAUUACUGGGCGUAAAGGCGCGUAGGCGGCCUGUUAAGUCGAACGUGAAAUCCCCGGGCUCAACCCGGGAACUGCGUCCGAUACUGGCAGGCUUGAAUUCGGGAGAGGGAUGCGGAAUUCCAGGUGUAGCGGUGAAAUGCGUAGAUAUCUGGAGGAACACCGGUGGCGAAGGCGGCAUCCUGGACCGAGAUUGACGCUGAGGCGCGAAAGCCAGGGGAGCAAACGGG